rnacentral:rRNA from 1 species
CAGUAGCCGCGGGAAUACGGAGGGAGCUAGCGUUGUUCGGAAUUACUGGGCGUAAAGCGCGCGUAGGCGGUUACUCAAGUCAGAGGUGAAAGCCCGGGGCUCAACCCCGGAACUGCCUUUGAAACUAGGUGACUAGAAUCUUGGAGAGGUCAGUGGAAUUCCGAGUGUAGAGGUGAAAUUCGUAGAUAUUCAGAAGAACACCAGUGGCGAAGGCGACUGACUGGACAAGUAUUGACGCUGAGGUGCGAAAGCGUGGGGAGCAAACAGGAUUAGAGACCCCAGUAGUCCCUGUCUCUUAUAC